rnacentral:lncRNA from 1 species
GACUUCAACUAUAACCAAGGAAUCAUCAUACCCUGAGGUAUAAUCUUUCCAUCUGUCAUACCAACGAAGCUGGAGAAUUCUAAGUGCAAAGAAUGAACUCUGUGACAUUCAGUGCAUCUCAAUGACAUGAAGAUACAAAAUUUGAGCAAGUACAGGAAAUACAACCCAGUUCACGUAUGGAUGUUGCUGGCUCUGUUUACGCCAUCCUGUGGGACUUGGGAAAUGACACAAAAAUAAUAACAUUACUCUGGAUACUGCUAUUGCUGGCUGCCUGUUUCACAUCUUGAACACCAGGAAUACAGACAUGUCUGGCAGUCCCACAGUUGUUUAUCUGCAAAAGGCAGCAGCGUUUUCCAUGGUCCAGUGCUGAAAUAGAUGGAGUGGAAUGGGGAGUCUCUCUCUCCUGCUCCACCCUGGUGGGACGUGUUUACUUCGCUCUUGCCUUCUGCUAUGAUUGUAAGUUCCUGAGGCCUCCCAGCCCUGCUUCCUGUACAGCCUGCAGAACUACUGUACAAGAAGCAUGGUACCAGCAUCUGCGUGCGGUGAAGGCCUUGGGAAGCUUCCAAUCAUGGUGGAAGGUGAAGCAGGAAGAGGCACAUCACACAGCAAGAAAGACAGCAAGAGAGAUGCCAGGCUAUUUUAAACAGCUAUCUCUCGCAUGAACUCAUUGUUACAGUGAAGGCAUCAAGCCAUUCAUGAGGGAUUCACGGCCAUGACCCAAACACAUCCCACCAGGCCCCACCUCCAUCACUGGGGAUCAUAUUUCAACAUGAGAUUUGGAGAGGACAAAUAUACAAACCAUAUCAUUCUGUCCCUGGCACCCCAAAUCUCCUGUUCUUCUCAUUUUACUAAAUACGAUCAUCACUUCCAAAGAGUCAUCAAAAGUCUUAACUUAUUCCAGCAUGCACUCAAAAGUCUGAAGUCUCAUCUGAGACCCCAGGCAAGUUUCUUUCACCUAUGCACCUGUAAGAUAAAAAGAAAAGUUAUUAACGUUUGCGAUACAAUGAUGGUACAUGCACUG